rnacentral:rRNA from 1 species
GCGAUCGGAGACCUCU